GGCGAAAUCAAGCAGCGAAGUGCCCCCUCCGUUCCUGGCACCAAAGCCAAAGCCCCCGUGCACCUCAUCAUAUCCACCAGCCUCAGCCCCAAUAUGGCCGUUAAAGUCUCCUCCAAUAACUAACUUCUCAGACUGGGGAAUCCUCCCCACCAGAUCAUCCAAGUCCUCCCAAACGCCUUUUAGCCUCUUCGUCUAAGCCUGCGUGCAGCGCGUACGCGCUAACGACAUUGAGGACUCCACCCCCAAUAACCAGCUUAAUAGACAUUAACCUAUCAUUCACUCGCCUAACCUCGACCAUGGACUCCCUUAGGUCCCCAUN
rnacentral:lncRNA from 1 species